GACGAACGCUGGCGGCGUGCUUAACACAUGCAAGUCGAACGGAAAGGCCCUGCUUUUGUGGGGUGCUCGAGUGGCGAACGGGUGAGUAACACGUGAGUAACCUGCCCUUGACUUUGGGAUAACUUCAGGAAACUGGGGCUAAUACCGGAUAGGAGCUCCUGCUGCAUGGUGGGGGUUGGAAAGCUUCGGCGGUUGGGGAUGGACUCGCGGCUUAUCAGCUUGUUGGUGGGGUAGUGGCUUACCAAGGCUUUGACGGGUAGCCGGCCUGAGAGGGUGACCGGCCACAUUGGGACUGAGAUACGGCCCAGACUCCUACGGGAGGCAGCAGUGGGGAAUAUUGCACAAUGGGCGGAAGCCUGAUGCAGCAACGCCGCGUGCGGGAUGACGGCCUCCGGGUUGUAAACCGCUUUCGCCUGUGACGAAGCGUGAGUGACGGUAAUGGGUAAAGAAGCACCGGCUAACUACGUG
rnacentral:rRNA from 1 species